rnacentral:rRNA from 1 species
CAACUGGAGAGUUUGAUCCUGGCUCAGAGCGAACGUUAGCGGCGGGCCUAACACAUGCAAGUCGAACGAGAAAACCUUCGGGUGAGUAAAGUGGCGCACGGGUGAGGAACGCGUAGGUAAUCCACCCUCUGGCGGGGGACAACACUCCGAAAGGAAUGCUAAUAC